AGAGUUUGAUCCUGGCUCAGGACGAACGCUGGCGGCGUGCCUAACACAUGCAAGUCGAACGAAGCUUUUAUGGAAUGCGACUUCGGUCAAAUGAAGUUUAAGCUUAGUGGCGGACGGGUGAGUAACGCGUGAGCAACCUGCCUUUCAGAGGGGGAUAACGUUUGGAAACGAACGCUAAUACCGCAUAACAUUGUUUUACCGCAUGAUAGAACAAUCAAAGGAGCAAUCCGCUGAAAGAUGGGCUCGCGUCCGAUUAGAUAGUUGGUGGGGUAACGGCCUACCAAGUCGACGAUCGGUAGCCGGACUGAGAGGUUGAUCGGCCACAUUGGGACUGAGACACGGCCCAGACUCCUACGGGAGGCAGCAGUGGGGGAUAUUGCACAAUGGGCGAAAGCCUGAUGCAGCAACGCCGCGUGAGGGAAGACGGUCUUCGGAUUGUAAACCCCUGUCAUGUGGGAGCAAGGCGCAAGCUUGAUAGUACCACAAGAGGAAGGGACGGCAAACUCUGUGCCAGCAGCCGCGGUAAUACAGAGGUCCCAAGCGUUGUUCGGAAUCACUGGGCGUAAAGGGUACGUAGGCGGCGGAAUAAGUCGUGCGUGAAAGGCAGGGGCUCAACCUCUGGAGUGCGCAUGAUACUGUUCUGCUGGAGUGAUGGAGGGGGAACCGGAAUUCUUGGUGUAGCAGUGAAAUGCGUAGAUAUCAAGAAGAAGACUCGUGGCGAAGGCGGGUUCCUGGACAUUCACUGACGCUGAGGUACGAAGGCCGGGGUAGCGAAAGGGAUUAGAUACCCCUGUAGUCCCGGCAGUAAACGGUGCAUGCUUGGUGUGCGGGGAAUCGACCCCCUGCGUGCCGGAGUUAACACGUUAAGCAUGCCGCCUGGGGAGUACGGUCGCAAGAUUAAAACUCAAAGAAAUUGACGGGGACCCGCACAAGCGGUGGAGUAUGUGGCUUAAUUCGAUGCAACGCGAAGAACCUUACCAAGGCUUGACAUCCUGUGACCGCUCAUGAAAGUGAGUUUUUUCUUAGGAAACACAGAGACAGGUGCUGCAUGGCCGUCGUCAGCUCGUGUCGUGAGAUGUUUGGUUAAGUCCAGCAACGAGCGCAACCUCUGCUGCCAGUUACCAGCGAUUCGGUCGGGGACUCUGGCGGGACUGCCCAGAUCAACUGGGAGGAAGGUGGGGACGACGUCAGGUCAGUAUGGCCCUUAUGCCUUGGGCUGCACACGUACUACAAUGCCCAGCACAGAGGGAAGCCAACCCGCGAGGGUGAGCGGAUCCGCAAAGUUGGGCCCAGUUCGGAUUGGAGGCUGCAACCCGCCUCCAUGAAGCCGGAAUCGCUAGUAAUGGCGCAUCAGCUACGGCGCCGUGAAUACGUUCCCGGGUCUUGCACUCACCGCCCGUCA
rnacentral:rRNA from 1 species